CUGGAGUGCCUGCACCCUGCGGUCCCCUACCCGGAACACCUGGGACAGACUGUCUCCAGUACCCGCCAGCAGGGCGCCAGGAAGUCUCCAUACUUGCUGGCUGUCAGGAUCUGACCCCCGGGGUCCCGACUAGGUGCAAAGGGGACGGUGAGAGGCACAGCUGUCUCCCCCAGCCUAAGCUGCUCAAGCUUCGCCCCAGCGCCCAGCCCUGUUUGGCCCCAAGGGUGACCCCCUCUCCCAGUAGCCAGAGCCUGGCAGGGGGAGACCCCAAGGUGCGUGUGUGCGAGGGGAGGCGGCCUUCGGAGCUUUGCUGCCCGGCUGGGGACCCCAGGGUGACCUGUCCUGUACAGUGUGGUCCUGGACUCAUGUGUGGAGAUGAGGCAAGUUUGGGAGACGCCCCCUCCUGCAAACAGCCCAGCACUCUGGCGAGCUAGGGGCUCUGGGCGACCCUGGAGCAAGAGACAAGAACCGGAAAACGAAAUACAUUCUGAAGACUUUCUCAGACCAUCGCACUUCCUCCUGCCUGACCGUCAGAAUGGCUGAGUCUUCUUGACGUCUGUCACUUCAUCACAUCAUGUAUUCACCAAGGUGGCAAAUCCUUGGGCCUUCACAGUACAGCUAGAAGUUGGCCGCCCUGGCUAAGGUUCUUUUUUAUGCAAAUCUCUGUGCUUACCCUUGUUUGGAC
rnacentral:lncRNA from 1 species